UACGGAGGGUGCAAGCGUUAUCCGGAUUCACUGGGUUUAAAGGGUGCGUAGGAGGGCAGGUAAGUCAGUGGUGAAAUCUCCAAGCUUAACUUGGAAACUGCCGUUGAUACUAUCUGUCUUGAAUAUUGUGGAGGUGAGCGGAAUAUGUCAUGUAGCGGUGAAAUGCUUAGAUAUGACAUAGAACACCAAUUGCGAAGGCAGCUCACUACACGAAUAUUGACACUGAGGCACGAAAGCGUGGGGAUCAAACAGG
rnacentral:rRNA from 1 species